UCUCUUCUUCUCCAAAAAAAACUAAAAAAUUUCUCUCUGAAAUCUCUCUCCUCCUUUUUCUCCGGUCAAUAGCCCGGCCGAGAGCCGCCGUCGCGCCACCGUCCCGGCCACCGUACACGGUGGCCGGAAAAUUCAAAAAAGGUGGAGCAGGUGGCGAUGGGACAGUGGCGGUAGUGGCAGUGCGGCGGCCAGCAGAGAUGGUGGCAGGGCAAGUGGGGUGCGGCGCUAGGCUAGGCUAGGGUUACUGUUUCUGUUUUGUAUUUUGGGCCUUUUGGGCCAUUAGGGUUUAGUUUUAAUUUUGGGUUUGGGCUGGUAGCUGGUGGGUUUAGUUUGGGAAUUGUUUUUGGGCAGGUUCUGUAAUGGGCUAAAAUUUUGAGUUGUUGGGCCCCGGGCUAAAUUUGGCUUUGUACAAUAGUAAUCCUCUGUUGCGUUCCCCUUCUAUCUGUUUAAAUUCUGACCUUAUCUCUA